rnacentral:lncRNA from 1 species
UGCGGUGUAGGUUGCAAUUUCGGCUCAGAUCUGAUCCGUGGCCCAGGAACUCCAUAUGCCAAGGGGCGACCAAAAAAGAAAGCAUGAAAGUGCAUUGACUCGUGCCAGACACAGCCCUGAGCGCUUACCCCCCACAGCAGGUCUGUUCCGGUCUCUUCAUUCAGGGCAGGAAACAGCGGCACGGGGGCUGCCAGUGGCAGGGCGUUCGUUCACCCAGGCAGCCUGACUCCAAAGCUUGCACCCUUAGCCGCCCCCUCCAGCAGCCUGCUGAGUUACUGCCAUCGGGUUCCCAUCUGCCUCUCAACCUGCGCGUUCUGCGGCUUCAGGGACCAUUUCUGUUUCGCUGACCCUGUCCCUGGCGCCAGCCAUCAUAUCACAGAAGAACAGAUGGACCAGCAGCCCUGCUGCACCCAGGCCAUGACCCUGCACGGCCGUGGAGGGACGAAUGGUGUGCGAGUGUGGUGCCAGCCGCCUGGUGCUGCUCACCCUGGUGAGAGGGUGAGAGUCCACGGGACACUUCUCACCGACUCGGGGGUGUCAGGGGCAGAGCUGCCCCUCGCCCUGCCCCUGCUGAUGAAGCAGGGAUGUCGGCCCCAGUCUCAGGCUCCAGCUCUGACUUCCGGUGCCGACGGCAGCCGGGUGGAAAGGGAGCAGUGAGAAAAGCCCUUGAACGACACGGAGCCAUUUCCGACGGUCUCCCACGCCAGAUCCCCCGUGCCUGGGCCCGGGGGACAGGGCCUCCCGGGUGGGAACUCGCCACUCCUCUCCAGGGACCAGGAAGCCUUCCUGCUGGCAGCUCCGGCGCCCUGGGAGGGCGAAGCAGGCCGCUUCUCCACCUUCGCUGGGGACUGUUCCCUGAGCUUGGCACCAGGCCCUCUCCCGGCCCCUGGCAGCGUCAGGAGGCGGCAGUAAUGCUCAUAAUCCCUCGAUUUGCACGGCGCUUUGUGGCAGGCCUGUCCCUGUCGCAUGUGGCCUCAGCUGAUCCUCCCGACAGCCCUGGGAAGCAGGCAGCCCGGGCCACGAGGAGGGAAGACGAAGUUCCCAGAGGGCGUUGGGGUCCCCAGAGCCCAAGGACGGUGACCGGCAGCCAAACGCCACCCUCCCGAGCCCCCGGAGGGUCAAGAGGGGCCUGUCGGAGAGCAGAGCAGCCCAACAGGCCGCUUAGGAGGAAGGAGACCAAGCCCAAAGUCAGUGACCAGGUCCACACUGGGUGCACAGCUGCGCCCAGCUGGCCUCUGGGGGGCACCGCCCUGGCCCCUCCUGGUCUCUAA